CAAUAAGCGGAGGAAAAGAAACCAACAGGGAUUGCCUUAGUAACGGCGAGUGAAGCGGCAACAGCUCAAAUUUGAAAUCUGGCCCUCGGGUCCGAAUUGUAAUUUGUAGAGGAUGAUUUUGGUGCGGUAUCUUCCGAGUUCCUUGGAACAGGACGCCUUAGAGGGUGAGAGCCCCGUACGGUUGAAUGCCUAGCCUCUGUAAAUCUCCUUCGACGAGUCGAGUAGUUUGGGAAUGCUGCUCUAAAUGGGAGGUAAAUUUCUUCUAAAGCUAAAUAUUGGCCAGAGACCGAUAGCGCACAAGUAGAGUGAUCGAAAGAUGAAAAGCACUUUGAAAAGAGGGUUAAAUAGCACGUGAAAUUGUUGAAAGGGAAGGAUUUGUGACCAGACUUUUUCUGGGCGGAUCAUCCGGGGUUCUCUCCGGUGCACUUUGCCCAGUAAAGGCCAGCAUCGAUUUUCGGCGGCGGAUAAAAGCAGUGGGAAUGUGGCUCCCUACGGGGAGUGUUAUAGCCCAUUGUAUAAUACGCUGCUGGGGAUCGAGGUACGCGCUUCUGCAAGGAUGCUGGCGUAAUGGUUAUCAAUCACCCGUCUUGAAACACGGACCAAGGAGUCGAACAUUUAUGCGAGUGUUUGGGUGUUAAACCCUCACGCGUAAUGAAAGUGAACGGAGGUGAGAGCCCGUACGGGUGCAUCAUCGACCGAUCCUGAAGUUUUCGGAUGGAUUUGAGUAAGAGCAUAACUGUUCGGACCCGAAAGAUGGUGAACUAUGCGUGGAUAGGGUGAAGCCAGAGGAAACUCUGGUGGAGGCUCGCAGCGGUUCUGACGUGCAAAUCGAUCGUCAAAUCUGCGCAUGGGGGCGAAAGACUAAUCGAACCAUCUAGUAGCUGG
rnacentral:rRNA from 1 species